rnacentral:rRNA from 1 species
GCCAGAGGGUGCAAGCGUUGUUCGGAAUUACUGGGCGUAAAGCGCGUGUAGGCGGUCAUGUAAGUCGGAUGUGAAAGCCCUCGGCUCAACCGAGGAAGUGCACUCGAAACUGCGUGACUGGAGUCUCGGAGAGGAUCGUGGAAUUCUCGGUGUAGAGGUGAAAUUCGUAGAUAUCGGGAGGAACACCGGUGGCGAAGGCGGCGACCUGGGUCGAUACUGACGCUGAUGCGCGAAAGCGUGGGGAGCAAACAGG